rnacentral:rRNA from 1 species
CAACGUGGAUAACCUUCCUUCAGGUGGGGAAUAACCCCGCGAAAGCGGGGCUAAUACCGCAUAACAUGACGAUGGCACAUGCUGUUGUCCUCAAAGCCGCAAGGCGCCAGAAGAGGGAUCCGCGGCCGAUUAGCUUGUUGGCGAGGUAAUGGCUCACCAAGGCAUUGAUCGGUAGCCGGACUGAGAGGUUGGCCGGCCACACUGGAACUGAGACACGGUCCAG